GGUUGUGGCUCAGUGGUAGAGUGCUUGCCUAGCAUGUGGGAGCCCCUGGGUUCUAUCCUCAGUACCA
rnacentral:tRNA from 1 species